CCCCGCCGUAUCGACACAUGGUACACUAGUAUAGGGCAGUACAUAUCGUAUUGCCGGUCAGUUGGUACACUGGUUUGGACCAGGAUGGUGAACCCUGGUUUGAAUAAUGUCUACCUUUGCACUUUGGUGAAGAUGUUUGAGAUGUGUGCAAAGAGCAUUGCAAUUCUACAAUUUGCAGAUUAUGUUGCAGAAAAGAGGGAAAAAAAAGUGAUACAUUUGAUGAGAACACUCCACCUGUAGAUGAUCCAAAGUAUAUAUCUUCCUUGGGUUCUGCAAUAUAUAAAGGAAUGCAAAGUGGUGAUGAUGAUGCAAUAUGGCUCAUGCAGGGUUGGUUAUUUUCAUAUGACCCAUUCUGGAAACCACCUCAGAUGAAGGUGCAUGCUACACAAUUUUGCUGGAAAUAUUGAGAUGUAUGGUAUUCUCGAUGCAAUUGCACUUGGACCUAUUGAAGCUCGUACAAGUGAAAAUUCAACCAUGGUUGGCGUUGGAAUGUCUAUGGAAGGCAUUGAGCAAAAUCCUGUUGUUUAUGAUCUGAUGUCUGAAAUGGCAUUUCAUCAUAAACCAGUAGAUGUCAAGGUAAUAUUUACUUUUGUGUACCCAUCUCUUUACCUUAUUGAAUACCACCCACAUGUUUUAAGCUAUAAUUUUCCUUUCUCGCCUCCUAUAUGGUGUAAUGUAUAAAUUGAAGAUAUCCUAUAGGUUAGUUACAUAGAAUAAGUUCAAAUAGUUUUCCCAAACAGGUACAUAUAUAAUUUAAGAUUCUUUUUUCGGUUCAGCAGUUAAGUAGUUCCUGCUUCAAUGGCAGAUUAAGUCUAGUAAUCUAUAAACUAGAAUAGUAUCACUAGAAAAGAAAUUUAAUUAAAAUUUGGAACUUUGUGAAGGACAAUAUCAAGUUAAAUGCAUUUUUGUUGUAUUGGGCAAAUAGGAAUUUAAUUUUGAUUUAUUUAUUGUAGGUCAAAUUGCAUUAGCUGUAGAUUAAACCUUGCCUUGUGAACAAAAUUUUGGCCAAAUGUGAUCUCAGAUGGAGCAUGUUUCUUUUCUUUGUGCAUGUGUUUUGAUUGUACAAAUGUGAUUUGCGUAUCUGUUUAUGGGUUUUCACUUCUUCACUUUGCCUACUUUCUUUUUGAUCCUUCAUUUAACCUUUGUUAGGUCGGAUACAUUUAAAUAUGUCCAGCUGGCAAGGUACUUGACCUAUUUCUGGGUUUUUAUGCAUCAUUUUUAAUAUUGAGGAGCUUAGGUGGUCAUUUUUUGGUAGAACAAAAUGUAGCAUUUUCUUUCUGUUCUAGGAUAUAUAAUCCGCUUAUUGCCAUUCUUCCAAUUAUGUAGCAAGAUAUAGUUUCUUAGUCAUCAUGCAAACUCAGCAAAAUAGUUUGUUCCAUCAAUUCAGGACAGCUUAGUAAUUGGAUUUCAGAAUCUGAUAAUAGUUAAAAGCAUGCCUAUUUUUACUUGUGGAAAAAGAAUAAUGGAACUAGAAGCUCAAUGAGGAAGAAUCACAAUGUGAAAAAAGAUCCAUAUUUCACUUUUAGCAGAUUUAUUUGGUAGAAAUAAUUAGAUCAUCUAGUUUGAUUGUUGCCUAAAUUUCCUACAACUAACAUUCUCUUUUGUUCUUUGUCAAUGAACAAUUUUAGUUGAGAAGUAAAUUUGGUGGAAUUUUAAUGAUGUAGAAUUCAUUAUAUACAUUGUUAAGUGAUAAACAUAUGAAAGCUUGAUUUACUGACUGAUUAUUUCAAAAUUUAGAUCAGACCCAUCAAGAAAUGUUUUGGCUUUUCUUUUAUCAUUUUCUUUUCAGAUCUGGGUUGACUUAUAUGCAACAAGGAGAUAUGGAAGGUCUGUUCCAGCACUACAAGACGCCUGGCAGAUACUAUAUCAUACUCUAUAUAAUUGCACAGAUGGUGCCUAUAGCAUUAGAAAUCUUUGGCCGCUUUUAUAAGCAGAGGCAAAGAAAGAGGUGCUGAGAGCUAAAAGACCAAAGAGAGAGAAUUUCAUGAUCAAGGGCAUUAGAAACUUAAAGUUUGCUUGUGAUUGGAUUGCGCAACUAGACCAUAGUCCAAAUUGAAGUGGUUCAAGCUAAGCUUUCUUCCAGAUUCUAAUGGG